rnacentral:sRNA from 1 species
AUUUUGCGUUAGGGAGUGCAGUGAAAAUCCUUUUGUUUUUGAAAAAAACAAAAGAUUGUAGCGGAAAGCCCGGUCGCGA